rnacentral:rRNA from 1 species
UACGGGGGGGGGCAAGCGUUAUCCGGAAUUAUUGGGCGUAAAGAGCUCGUAGGCGGCUUGUCACGUCGAUUGUGAGAGCCCGAGGCUUAACCUCGGGUCUGCAGUCGAUACGGGCUAGCUAGAGUGUGGUAGGGGAGAUCGGAAUUCCUGGUGUAGCGGUGAAAUGCGCAGAUAUCAGGAGAAACACCGGUGGCGAAGGCGGAUCUCUGGGCCAUUACUGACGCUGAGGAGCGAAAGCGUGGGGAGCGAACAGG